rnacentral:tRNA from 2 species
GCUCCUAUGGCGGAAUUGGCAGACGCGGCAGACUUAAAAUUUGUUCUAUUUAGAUUGUGAGUUCGACUCUCACUAGGAGCA